GUGUGAACCAGGAAGACUUCAUCCUCCAACCACACUGGCUGGGCUGUUGAAUCAAUCCUGACAUGAGGACAGGAGCCUCACCCUGCCCAGCAGAACUUACUGCCUUAUAUCAGUGCAGCUGACUCAUAUGAGUCCAACACUGGAUGACCAAAGCCCAAUGGAGAUUCGGUGCACGGAAGAGGGUGCUGGGCCUGGGAUCUUCAGAAUGGAGUUGGGAGACCAGAGGCAAUCCAUUUCUCAGUCCCAACGCUGGUGCUGCCUGCAACGUGGCUGUGUUAUACUGGGCGUCCUGGGGCUUCUGGCUGGAGCAGGCAUUGCUUCAUGGCUCUUAGUGUUGUAUCUAUGGCCAGCUGCCUCUCCAUCCAUCUCUGGGACGUUGCAGGAGGAGGAGAUGACUUUGAACUGUCCAGGAGUGAGCCGUGAGGAAGAGCUCCUUCCAUCUCUUCCCAAAACAGUAUCUUUCAGAAUAAAUGGAGAGGAUCUUCUGCUUCAAGUACAAGUAAGAGCUCGGCCAGACUGGCUCCUGGUCUGCCACGAGGGCUGGAGCCCCGCCCUGGGCAUGCACAUCUGCAAGAGUCUUGGGCAUAUCAGGCUUACUCAACACAAGGCCGUGAAUCUGUCUGACAUCAAGCUCAACAGAUCCCAGGAGUUUGCUCAACUCUCUGCUAGACCGGGAGGCCUUGUAGAGGAGUCAUGGAAACCCAGCGCUAACUGUCCUUCUGGCCGAAUUGUUUCUCUCAAAUGUUCUGCCUUUUCUGUUUGCAGAGUGUGGGGCAAGGCCUCUGGCUUCUCGAAUAGUUGGCGGCCAAGCUGUGGCUUCUGGGCGCUGGCCAUGGCAAGCUAGCGUGAUGCUUGGCUCCCGGCACACGUGUGGGGCCUCUGUGUUGGCACCACACUGGGUAGUGACUGCUGCCCACUGCAUGUACAGUUUCAGGCUGUCCCGCCUAUCCAGCUGGCGGGUUCAUGCAGGGCUGGUCAGCCACGGUGCUGUCCGACAACACCAGGGAACUAUGGUGGAGAAGAUCAUUCCCCACCCUUUGUACAGUGCCCAGAACCAUGACUAUGAUGUGGCUCUGCUGCAGCUCCGGACACCAAUCAACUUCUCAGACACCGUGGGCGCUGUGUGCUUGCCGGCCAAGGAGCAGCACUUUCCAUGGGGGUCGCAGUGCUGGGUGUCUGGCUGGGGCCACACCGACCCCAGCCAUACUCAUAGCUCAGAUACACUGCAGGACACAAUGGUACCCCUGCUCAGCACCUACCUCUGCAACAGCUCAUGCAUGUACAGUGGGGCACUUACACACCGCAUGUUGUGUGCUGGCUACCUGGAUGGAAGGGCAGACGCAUGCCAGGGAGACAGCGGGGGACCCCUGGUAUGUCCCAGUGGUGACACGUGGCACCUUGUAGGGGUGGUCAGCUGGGGUCGUGGCUGUGCAGAGCCCAAUCGCCCAGGUGUCUAUGCCAAGGUAGCAGAGUUCCUGGACUGGAUCCAUGACACUGUGCAGGUCCGCUAGCCGAAGAAGAAGCAGCAGCCACCUGUGACGCCGAGCUGUGGAUCGCCCAUGGAUCACCCCAGUCUGGGGGCCAGCAUCUGGGUCACUGGGCCUCUCCCCAAAGGCUCUGACUUCGAGUUCAUCUUUCUCAUCUGAGAACCUCCACAACAGGAAAAGGAGUCUGCGGCUAGAUUGGGAAUGAUGGUGAGAGGAAGGGAUAGGAGGACAGAAGAGACAGCAGAGGCUUCUGGAAGCAUCUGGGAGACUGCUCCUCUGCUCCCCCCACACCCCACGUGCAUCCACUGGGGGAUGCUGGAGAUGCCCAAUCCUUGUUUCUUGUGGGGCCACUGGAAGGCUAAGUCCAACUUUAGAGGAUGCCCUGUCUCGAGAGUUACUAGGCAGAUAAGGUUAAGGUUGGACAAGCUCAGGUAAAGGCACGGAAGUCGAGAUCCCCUCUCCCCUGUGCGGUCCUGUUCUGAGGUAAGCUAAUAGCCCCGCACCAGGCAGAGGUCUACAGGGUAAGAAGGAUGCAGUUGGGCUACACGAUGCUAUUUUUCAAAUGAUGUUUCUGUAAAUUGGUUGAGAGAGUUUUGUUAUUAAACAGAAAUUAUGUAUAAUCUG